AACCCAGUGGCGCAGUAGUUAGCGCAUCGAGCUUAUGCGGAAAAAUUUAUGCCUCUCGAUGGUCGCGAGUUCAAAUCUCGCCUGGGUUA